UACGAAGGGGGCUAGCGUUGUUCGGAAUUACUGGGCGUAAAGCGCACGUAGGCGGAUACUUAAGUUAGGGGUGAAAUCCCAAGGCUCAACCUUGGAACUGCCUUUAAUACUGGGUAUCUCGAGUUCGAGAGAGGUGAGUGGAAUUCCGAGUGUAGAGGUGAAAUUCGUAGAUAUUCGGAGGAACACCAGUGGCGAAGGCGGCUCACUGGCUCGAUACUGACGCUGAGGUGCGAAAGCGUGGGGAGCAAACAGG
rnacentral:rRNA from 2 species